rnacentral:rRNA from 1 species
AUGAGUGUCAUGUUGUCUCUCGUCUCCUGGUUCCUCCUGGCCAUGGCUGCUGGAGGAGGCUUGCACGCAAAUUCAGCCACCGCCGAAGUGACGAUAGCCUCAAACUCGGCUGCGGUUACCGCGUACUGGCACACAAUGCUUCCCAACACACUCAUGCCUUCAGCCAUCCUCGAGCUGCUAGCCCCACCUGCGGGGAACGAAGUCCAGAAUAGCAAAUGUGUAUGGGGACCGUCCACACCAAAUGACGUCGAGAAGAUCAACAAUGGUAAUUGGGGCCCAUCCACCAAAGCUGAAGACGAGAAGAGUAAUGGUGUAUGGGACCCGUCCACAACAAACGACGUCAUGAAGAACAAUGGUAAUUGGGGCCCAUCCACAACAAACGACGUCGAGAAGAACAAUGGUAAUUGGGGCUCAUCGACAAGAAAGGACGUCCAGAAGAGCAAAGGUGUAUGGGGCUCGUUCACAACAAAUGAUGUCGAGAAGAUCAAUAAUGGUAAUUGGGGCCCAUCCACCAAAGCUGAAGAUGAGAAGAGCAAUGGUGUGUGGGACCUGUCCACAACGAACGACAUCCUGAAGAACAAUGGUAAUUGGGGCCCAUCCAACAAAGCUGAAGACCAGAAAAACAAUGGUAAUUCAGGCUCAUCCACAACAAAUGACAUCCAGAAGAGAAGUCGUAAAUGGGGUCCAUCCACCAAAGCUGAUGACCAGAACCACAAUGGUAACUGGGCCUGGGGCUCAUCCACCAAAGCUGAGGACCAGAACCACAAUGGUAACUGGGCCUGGGGCUCAUUGGACAUCCAAAAGAGCCAUGGAGAAUCCCACAUUGGCCAAGACAACCACAAACAUGGAACCAUGUCAAACAUGGUGUUCUUAGAAGAGGCCCUCAAACCAGGAUCAACUAUACCUUGUUACAUCCAACCAUCGGCUACCUUAGGAGCUCCUUUGUUACGGCGUGAUGUCGCCGACUCUAUCCCUAUGUCCACGGGGAACUUCAUCAAAAUUCUGACAAUGUUUGCACCAGCGUCCAACGACAUGGCUACCAAAAUAUGGUCGACGCUGGAUGAUUGCGAGCACCCGCGCGCUAUCAAGGGUGAGACGAAGGCAUGUGUCAGCUCUGUGGAGUCAAUGGUGGAGUUUGCUGCAUCCGUGCUCGGGGUUAGUACCUACAACCUCGCGGCCUUCUCCUCACCGGACGUGCCCGUGGAUGGCGUCAUGACAGGGAGGGGGUACAAAGUGGCGGCUGUAACGAGGGUCAGAGAGGCGGGGGACACCAUGACUUGCCAUCGCGGGAGUUUCCCAUUCGCUAUGUUCAUGUGCCACGCGGUGAAUCCCACCAGAGUGUACUCGGUGACGCUGGAGGGGGAGGACGUUGAUGCUGACGGCGCGGGGCAGAGGAUGGAGGUGCUUGCCGUGUGCCACCUGGACACAUCAGACUUCCACCCAGCUAAGAUGCCGUUGCACGUCAAGCCUGGAGAUGCUCCACUCUGCCACUUCAUCUCCAGGGACAGCAUUCUCUGGGCGCCUGCUACGCCCGCUUCUGCUCACGCUGCUGCUUAG